rnacentral:rRNA from 1 species
GAUGAACGCUGGCGGCGUGCCUAAUACAUGCAAGUCGAGCGAACGGACGAGAAGCUUGCUUCUCUGAUGUUAGCGGCGGACGGGUGAGUAACACGUGGAUAACCUACCUAUAAGACUGGGAUAACUUCGGGAAACCGGAGCUAAUACCGGAUAAUAUUUUGAACCGCAUGGUUCAAAAGUGAAAGACGGUCUUGCUGUCACUUAUAGAUGGAUCCGCGCUGCAUUAGCUAGUUGGUAAGGUAACGGCUUACCAAGGCAACGAUGCAUAGCCUACCUGAGAGGGUGAUCGGCCACACUGGAACUGAGACACGGUCCAGACUCCUACGGGAGGCAGCAGUAGGGAAUCUUCCGCAAUGGGCGAAAGCCUGACGGAGCAACGCCGCGUGAGUGAUGAAGGUCUUCGGAUCGUAAAACUCUGUUAUUAGGGAAGAACAUAUGUGUAAGUAACUGUGCACAUCUUGACGGUACCUAAUCAGAAAGCCACGGCUAACUACGU